rnacentral:rRNA from 1 species
AUUGAACGCUGGCGGCGUGCUUUACACGUGCAAGUCGAGCGGCAGCAUGACCUUGGUCGAUGGCGAGCGGCGAACGGGUGAGUAAUACAUCGGAACGUACCUUUUAGUUGGGGGAGUAACGCAGCGAAAGCUGUGCUAAUACCGCAUACGCCCUGAGGGGGAAAGGCGGGGGAUCUUCGGACCUACCGCGAUUGGAUGCCACCCAGGUGGGAUUAGCUAGUUGGUGAGGUAACGGCUCACCAAGGCGACGAUCUCUAGCUGGUCUGAGAGGACGACCAGCCACACUGGAACUGAGACACGGUCCAGACUCCGUACGGGGAGGCAGCAGGUGGGGUAAUUUUGGACAAUGGACGCAAGUCUGAUCCAGCCAUUCCGCGUGCAGGAU